CACCUGACUCCUGAUCCUCAUCAUUCAGUCAUCUCCUGCCACAAAAGACCUGCUGACCUUCUCUCCACUGCCAGAUUGUUCUGUCAUCUAAGUGUACCUUCAUUUGGAGCCAGCCUCUUCUCGUUUGCCACUGGUUCUAUAAGCCUCUGGUCAGUCUGUGCCACUACCUCGUGUCUGCAGCCGACCUGGACCCGUCCAGUCCCCCUGGAAUUUAUUCCGCCCUCCCCAAGACUAUUUUUGGAUCAGAUGUGUCAAAAAUAGAGACACCUGGGACAUUUCUUAUAUAAAAUUGGGAUAAAUCAGUGGUUUUGGUUAAAUCUGCAGGGACAGAGGACACAGGACUCAAAACUGAGACUGUCCUGGCAUCACCUGGUUAUCCAGACUUCACUUCCAGCAGCUGCUUUAUCCAUUUUUGUUAAGCAAUCAAAUUAAAGAACAAACUUGGUGAAGAGUGGAACAUGAAGUUACGCAGGGGAUAAAACAAGACUCAAUGAAACUCUCCCAAAACUGUAGUCGUCCUUGUUAGCUCACACGAGACGGUUCCUCCUCGGCGGUGUUUCCGAGCGUGUCAUGUGGAGCAGGUGUUGAUGGCUCUGAGGACUUUUGGCCGUGGGCAAAGGCCUGUAAUGACUGAUGUUCCACAGACCUGACUCAGAGCAGGAACGGAACUCGCUUUGGCCUAACUCGAACCACCUGGAAGAGUCCGAUCUCUGAAUAUUUCACCGCUUUAUCCUUCAAUGGAGGCCUGACCGUGAAAGAUAGAGGAGCCAAAAAUGUACUGAAAGGCCGAAUAGUAGCCUUCAGUUACUUCAAAAUGAAAUGACUCAGGUAGUAGAAGUACAAACAUUGUUGGGAAGGUGACUUUUAAAAUGUAUUCCCCUACAGAUUACAGAUUACAGACCCCAAAAUGUAGUUUGUAACGUAAUCCAUUAAAUUACUGAAAAUGAGUAACAUAA